UUAUCAGACUUGUUACAAGGUUGUCCUGACAAGUCUGAUGCAGUCACGAUAUAACAAGAAUGUCACAAGGUUGUAACAAUACUGCUAUAUCAUGACUGGAUCGGACUUGUUGGAACAACCUUGCAACAAGUCUGAUAA